rnacentral:rRNA from 1 species
UACAGAGGUCUCAAGCGUUGUUCGGAUUCAUUGGGCGUAAAGGGUGCGUAGGUGGUGGGGUAAGUCGGAUGUGAAAGCUCGGAGCUCAACUCCGAAAUGGCAUUGGAAACUACCCUGCUAGAGGAUUGGAGGGGGGACUGGAAUACUUGGUGUAGCAGUGAAAUGCGUAGAUAUCAAGUGGAACACCAGUGGCGAAGGCGAGUCCCUGGACAACUCCUGACACUGAGGCACGAAAGCUAGGGGAGCAAACAGG